rfam:Trypanosoma congolense IL3000, WGS project CAEQ01000000 data, contig: 2355
ACCAAGGGUAGCACCGUCGCUUGCCAUCUGCGUUGGUUACGUGACGGACUUGCCCAUGGGAGA